GGCGUCAAUGCACACGCCAUCAUUUCGGCAGUCUGCGCUAUAUGUGAAAGCAUAUACGUGACUGUCAAGUUUACCUUAAAUAAAUUAAAAUGCUCAAAAUAAGCGUAUGCUUGAAUAUCAUAUUAUGGAAUAAUGAAAUAGGACUUCGGUUCUUUUUGUUGGUUAUUGAAUCGGAGUAAUGAUUAAUAGGGGAUAAUCUCGGGGGGCAUUUCGUAUUUCUGCGGGAGAGGUGAAAAUUCUAUGAUCGCAGAAGGGACGCCCCUAAAGCGAAAAGCAUUUGCCAAAGAAUGUCUUCGUUAAUCAAGAACGAAAGUCAGAGGAUCGAAGGCGAUUAGAUACCGCCCUAGUUCUGACCGUAAACGAUACUAUCUAGCGAUCCGAUAGGGUCCUAUCUAGCCUUGUCGGGGAGCUUCCCGGAAACGAAAGUCUUUCGGUUCCGGGGGUAGUAUGGUUGCAAAGCUGAAACUUAAAGAAAUUGACGGAAGGGCACCCCCAGGAGUGGAGCUUGCGGCUUAAUUUGACUCAACACGGGAAAACUCACCCGGUCCGGACACCGUAAGGAUUGACAGACUGAUAGCUCUUUCUUGAUUCGGUGGUUGGUGGUGCAUGGCCGUUCUUAGUUGGUGGAGUAAUUUGUCUGGUUUAUUCCGAUAACGAGCGAGACUCUAGCCUGCUAAAUAGAACGAGGAUAAACCUUUUCAUAGGUCCUCGAUGCUUCUUAGAGGAAUUAGCGG
rnacentral:rRNA from 1 species